UCAGCGUCUAACAGGAUAUUAAAAAAUCUUGAGGAUGAUUUCUGAAAACGAAUAUCAUCUGAAAAACGCAAAUGCCAUUUUAGCUCAAAUAUAAUAUUGUCUUUCUUAAAAGUCACUCCACAGGGGCUCAGGCAUGUGAAGACACUUUAAAAUUUAAAAAAAAGUGAUUUGGAUGUAAUUUCUAAUAUGCAUGAUGAAAGUGGCCUAAAUGAAAUGCUAAAAGAAGGAAAAUUUGAAACUUUACUAUCAAGCAUCACUUUCUUCUCACUUCCGCUUCACAAAAUUCAAGAGCAAAGUCACAGAAUAUUUUAAAGCAGCAUGUCUUUAGAAUUCCUUAUAGAAUGAUAUAGGCGAUUCUGAGUUUUGAGGUACAUCAAGAAUGUCAAUGUAGACAUCAAGCGAAAGUUCUG